rnacentral:rRNA from 1 species
CCUACGGGAGGCAGCAGUAAGGAAUAUUGGUCAAUGGACGAAAGUCUGAACCAGCCAUGCCGCGUGAAGGAUGAAGGCCCUCUGGGUUGUAAACUUCUUUUAUCUGGGACGAAAAAAGGGAAUUCUUUCCCACUUGACGGUACCAGAGGAAUAAGCACCGGCUAACUCCGUGCCAGCAGCCGCGGUAAUACGGAGGGUGCAAGCGUUAUCCGGAUUCACUGGGUUUAAAGGGAGCGUAGGUGGGUCUGUAAGUCAGUGGUGAAAUCUCCGAGCUUAACUCGGAAACUGCCAUUGAUACUAUAGGUCUUGAAUUAUCUGGAGGUAAGCGGAAUAUGUCAUGUAGCGGUGAAAUGCUUAGAUAUGACAUAGAACACCAAUUGCGAAGGCAGCUUGCUACGGAUAUAUUGACACUGAGGCUCGAAAGCGUGGGGAUCAAACAGGAUUAGAUACCCUGGUAGUCCACGCCCUAAACGAUGGAUACUCGACAUCAGCGAUACACUGUUGGUGUCUGAGCGAAAGCAUUAAGUAUCCCACCUGGGAAGUACGACCGCAAGGUUGAAACGUCAAAGGAAAUUGAACGGCGUGAGACGNGACGAGACGACGACGAGGGAGGAGG